GAUGAACGCUGGCGGCGUGCCUAAUACAUGCAAGUCGAGCGAACAGACGAGGAGCUUGCUCCUCUGACGUUAGCGGCGGACGGGUGAGUAACACGUGGAUAACCUACCUAUAAGACUGGGAUAACUUCGGGAAACCGGAGCUAAUACCGGAUAAUCUAUUGAACCGCAUGGUUCAAUAGUGAAAGACGGUUUUGCUGUCACUUCUAGCUGGAUCCGCGCCGUAUUAGCUAGUUGGUAAGGUAACGGCUUACCAAGGCAACGAUGCGUAGCCGAACUGAGAGGGUGAUCGGCCACACGGGAACUGAGACACGGUCCAGACUCCUACGGGAGGCAGCAGUAGGGAAUCUUACGCAAUGGGCGAAAGCAUGACGGAGCAACGCCGCGUGAGUGAUGAAGGUCUCCGGAUCGUAAAACUCUGUUAUUAGGGAAGAACAAAUGUGUAAGUAACUAUGCACGUCUUGACGGUACCUAAUCAGAAAGCCACGGCUAACUACGUG
rnacentral:rRNA from 1 species